UGAAAUGAUGCUUGUGCCUUCUGUUCUGGU
rnacentral:piRNA from 1 species